AACUGACGGAACUCUUCGGAGGGAAGGCAGCGGAAUGAGCGGCGGACGGGUGAGUAACACGUAAGGAACCUGCCUCAAGGAUUGGGAUAACUCCGAGAAAUCGGAGCUAAUACCGGAUAGUUCAUCGGACCGCAUGGUCCGUUGAUGAAAGGCGCUCCGGCGUCACCUUGAGAUGGCCUUGCGGUGCAUUAGCUAGUUGGUGGGGUAACGGCCCACCAAGGCGACGAUGCAUAGCCGACCUGAGAGGGUGAUCGGCCACACUGGGACUGAGACACGGCCCAGACUCCUACGGGAGGCAGCAGUAGGGAAUCUUCCACAAUGGACGAAAGUCUGAUGGAGCAACGCCGCGUGAGUGAUGAAGGUUUUCGGAUCGUAAAACUCUGUUGUAAGGGAAGAACACGUACGAGAGGAAAUGCUCGUACCUUGACGGUACCUUACGAGAAAGCCACGGCUAACUACGUGCCAGCAGCCGCGGUAAUACGUAGGUGGCAAGCGUUGUCCGGAAUUAUUGGGCGUAAAGCGCGCGCAGGCGGCCUUUUAAGUCUGAUGUGAAAGCCCCCGGCUCAACCGGGGAGGGCCAUUGGAA
rnacentral:rRNA from 1 species